GAUGAACGCUGGCGGCGUGCCUAAUACAUGCAAGUCGAGCGAACAGACGAGGAGCUUGCUCCUCUGACGUUAGCGGCGGACGGGUGAGUAACACGUGGAUAACCUACCUAUAAGACUGGGAUAACUUCGGGAAACCGGAGCUAACACCGGAUAAUAUAUUGAACCGCAUGGUUCAAUAGUGAAAGACGGUUUUGCUGUCACUUAUAGAUGGAUCCGCGCCGCAUUAGCUAGUUGGUAAGGUAACGGCUUACCAAGGCAACGAUGCGUAGCCGACCUGAGAGGGUGAUCAGCCACACUGGAACUGAGACACGGUCCAGACUCCUACGGGAGGCAGCAGUAGGGAAUCUUCCGCAAUGGGCGAAAGCUUGACGGAGCAACGCCGCGUGAGUGAUGAAGGUCUUCGGAUCGUAAAACUCUGUUAUUAGGGAAGAACAAAUGUGUAAGUAACUAUGCACGUCUUGACGGUACCUAAUCAGAAAGCCACGGCUAACUACGUG
rnacentral:rRNA from 1 species